UACGUAGGGUGCAAGCGUUAAUCGGAAUUACUGGGCGUAAAGCGUGCGCAGGCGGUUUUGUAAGUCUGUCGUGAAAUCCCCGGGCUCAACCUGGGAAUGGCGAUGGAGACUGCAAGGCUAGAAUCUGGCAGAGGGGGGUAGAAUUCCACGUGUAGCAGUGAAAUGCGUAGAUAUGUGGAGGAACACCGAUGGCGAAGGCAGCCCCCUGGGCUAAGAUUGACGCUCAUGCACGAAAGCGUGGGGAGCAAACGGG
rnacentral:rRNA from 1 species